CAGUAGCCGCGGGAAUACGGAGGGUGCAAGCGUUAAUCGGAAUUACUGGGCGUAAAGCGUGCGUAGGCGGUUCGUUAAGUCUGUUGUGAAAGCCCCGGGCUCAACCUGGGAAUGGCAAUGGAUACUGGCGAGCUAGAGUGUGUCAGAGGAUGGUGGAAUUCCCGGUGUAGCGGUGAAAUGCGUAGAGAUCGGGAGGAACAUCAGUGGCGAAGGCGGCCAUCUGGGACAACACUGACGCUGAGGCACGAAAGCGUGGGGAGCAAACAGGAUUAGAUACCCCCGUAGUCCCUGUCUCUUAUAC
rnacentral:rRNA from 1 species